GCAAACUCCUCAUUCUGUUCUCCGUCUGAGAUACGGCUGCACUACGAGACCCAGUUAAGAAAGAACUCGCGGUGACACUGAAAGUUGCAGCAGCCGGUGGGGGAAAGAGCUCCCUUUGCUCAGCAACUCCCGGCAUUCCCACGAGGUGUCACUGUAAGAGAGUGACUUGAAUGCAGAAGAUGGAAGAGGUGGGCCACCAAACUGAAGUCAGCAAAGCUGAGGGAUGUGUCUUCGGGAGCCUCCACCGAGAAGAUUUCCUAGCAAGCAUGUGGUCGGUUCCUGCCCUGCUUUGGUUCGCAGUGGGCAUUUCAUGCGACAUUUCUCCAACCAUCACCCAGUGGCCGCAGUCAGCAGUAGGGCGGCUGGGUGGCAGCGUGUCUCUGAACUGCAGUUUGGAAGGACACAGCAGCCCCAAUUUCUACUGGUACUGGCAAAUUCCUGGAGGACAGAUUGAGCUGCUUUUCUUCUCCAUAAGCAAGGGAAGCGUCGAGAGGACAGGUCCAACGCACAUCAGCGCCUCAAGACCGGAGGACGGCCAGUUCCUCCUGAGCAUCGCCAGCCUCAAAGCCAAUGACACGGGGACGUUUCUCUGUGCCUGGAGUCGCACACUGGAGCAGGUGGGCACAGCGCCUUGA